UUCACGCGGCAUCGCAACAAUAUUCGAGCAAAUUUAUACUGAAAAUGCGCAAGAAAACAUGCAAUGGAAUAAUUUAAAAACUGCGGAUAUCAUGCGCAACACUAAUCGGCAAAAAAACAGAAUGCCGUGCCGCAAACUUGGCGUGACCACGGCAAAGCUGUCCCUCCUAUCCCCCCGGAAAUCUUUUCUAAACUGAUUGGCGCUGUCAACGCUCUGGUCCUCCGUGUCACCAUUCUGACAAAGGGUUACAUUUAUGGCGCUGGUGGUAAGGGGGCACGGCAAAAAUGUCCAGGGCCGGACAGGAUGAGAAUUUUUGCCGGUCUCAUAUGUGCUCGUAAAAUCUGUAGUCGUGUUCG